rnacentral:misc_RNA from 1 species
GUACACUCGCGAUCUUUGGAUCGCGAGCGGUGGACUUGGGUGUUGCUGCGUUACCCGUGGCUCACCUCAAAUGGAGUAGUGCACCUCUUGGUUGGACAUAGUACGGCGUGAUAAGUGUCUUCGCCGGCACCUCAUAAGAGGGUGGCCGAUCGGGAGCUCUGUGCUUUCAAACCGUCUUCGGACAAUCUCUGACA